AAGCUGGGUUCGCUGUGUGUGUGUGAGGCAGCUUUGUGAGGGAGCGGCUGGUGUGUAUCUCUCUCCCAUUCUGCUGAGGAGUAAGAACCAGUCCAGCAGACGGCUCCAUUAUGUGCCUUGCCAAUGCGUCGUUUUUUGCGGCAGGCCUCCUUGUGAAGAAGACACUCGUUGCUGUACGUCUUCCCCAUAACGCUGCACACUGGUGCCCCCUGCCUGUACAAAACAACACAUUCACACACAAAGUGCUUCUGGACUGGGUCUGUUCAAAGUCAAGGACAGCAGGUCUUUGGACACACACAUUUAGGGGCAAGAACUCCCCCCUCCUUCACCACUUGGCACCAGGAACCAAUAGGACUGUGACAUUUCAACAACUGACAAAGGGAUUCUGAAGAGGAGAAAGAAAGAAAGAAAGAAAGAA